rnacentral:rRNA from 1 species
GACGAACGCUGGCGGCGUGCCUAAUACAUGCAAGUAGAACGCAGUUGCGAACGGGUGAGUAACGCGUAGGUAACUGCCUGGUAGAGGGGGAUAACUAUUGGAAACGAUAGCUAAUACCGCAUACUAGUAGAUGGACCUGCGUUGUAUUAGCUAGUAGGUAAGGUAACGGCCUACCAAGGCCACGAUACAUAGCCGACCUGAGAGGGUGAUCGGCCACAAUGGGACUGAGACACGGCCCAGACUCCUACGGGAGGCAGCAGUAGGGAAUCUGCGGUAAUGGGGGGAACCCUGACCGAGCAACGCCGCGUGAGUGAAGAAGGUUUUCGGAUCGUAAAGCUCUGUUGUUAAGGAAGCGGUACCAACAGAAAAAGGGACGGCUAACUACGUGCCAGCAGCCGCGGUAAUAC